CUGAAAAACAAAUACACACAAAAGAAACAGAAGAGAGAUGAUACAAAGAAAGUCUGGGCAAAUUAAUUGGAGCUUAGAUAGAAAAACAGUAUAUUAGGCUGUGGGUCUGAUUAGAUUAGGUGUCCAAAGAACAAAUGAUAAAUUAUCCUUAAAAUGGAGUAUUGAGCAAAAGUUGAUUAUAGACAACUUGAAAAUCUAACAUGCAAAUAUUUGAAAUAUGUUUGGGAACGUUUCAGUUCCAUUGACUAGUUAACGUAAUAGUGCUUGAUCAGAUUAGCAAUAGCAUGCACUUUUAUUAAUUACCUUAAGAAACAGUGAGAGGAGAGAAUGAUACUUCUCUGUGACAGCAUGCUUUAUGGGACCACUCACAGGCCUGGAUAUGGCAGAGAAAUUAUAGCUAUGGGAUCCUGCAAUAGACAGAAGAAAGAUAAUUCCCUGGGAAGUGCUGAGAUCCAUGUAACCGUGACCCUUCUUCUGGAUGUGAUUGCACAGACAAUGGCAGCAGUGGGAAUCACAGCUAAGAAAACUGCCUGGGAAAAGUAAAACACAUCAGCAAGCUUAAGGGGUGGUCCAUGCAUCAGCAGUGGCAGCAGAACCCAGGACCUUGUUAGUGACACAGCAUGUCAGGACUCACUUAGACCUACUGAACAGCUGGCAUCAAGACUUUUAUAUUGGAGGAGCCAAGAUGGCCGAAUAGGAACAGCUCCGGUCUACAGCUCCCAGCGUGAGCGACGCAGAAGAGGGUGAUUUCUGCAUUUCCAUCUGAGAAACCCCAAUUCCCACCAACUUCAGAUCUCCAUUCCUACCAACUUCAGCUCUGCUGGUAUGUGGACAUCAGAGAAGGGGGAACUGGAAACUGAACUCUGACCAUAUCAUUCUGUGUUCUAAAUGUCUUCCUGAGGGGCCUGGAGGAAGUUACACUCACAAGCCAGAGCUAACAUUCUUUUCUGCUGACCCCAAAUUUUAAAAUAAAGCUUCUCUU
rnacentral:lncRNA from 1 species